ensembl:rRNA 5S_rRNA 5S ribosomal RNA
GCUUACGGCCAUACCACCUUAGGCACGCCCGAUCUCGUCUGAUCUCGGAAGCUAAGCAGGGUCGGGCCUGGUUAGUACUUGGAUGGUUGACCGCCUGGGAAUACCAGGUGCUGUAAGGA